UGGCGGUGGCUGUCAUGCAAGGUGCCGACCAGCACAACAAGAGCAGUUUGAGUUUCAGUGUCUUGCCCAAGGACACCUCGGCAUGCAGACCAGGCGACUCAAACCAGUGACUUUCUGAUAAAAAGACGCUGAAUCUACCCCUGAGCCACAGCCACCCUAAAAAUAUAAUACCAACUUACAAGAGAAGGGUUGAACACCAAGUGCUAAUCAGACAGUGGGGAAGGAAGUCAGUGAACAACUCAGGCGACAGAAGUUACAUACUGCGUAUUUGAUAAGAGAUUUCCUCACAGCCAGGCAGUGUGAACAGGAAGAACCAUUACGGCCAACGAGAGUCUGCACAAGGGCCUGUGACUGAUGUUUUAGGACAGACUGCACCUUCUGCACUUUUGUCCCUCCGCAGGUCAGAUUCACGG